CCAUUUGUCCAGUAUUGUGCGACCAUUGAGAUCCGUGCGGUUAGGAGUAGAGAUGGGGAAUUCUGAACAAACAGGAUUCCCAUACAGAGGUUUACUGGGUCCUUCCACCAAUCAGAGGAUCGCUUGACCCUGGCCCAGAUUCUGAAACAGGUCCAGUGUAGGCUGAGUGACUUGCUAGGACUCUGCAAAGGACCAUACCCUGAGAAGACAGUCGUCCAGUUGUAUAGAUCCCAAGGGAUCGAAGAGUGACCCUCAAAUCUUUUAACAUAUGGAGGGAGGCAUCUGUAUUUUCAGCAAAUAAUUUUGUCCCCCAAAAGGGGUAGUCUUCCACUGUCAUUUGGACCUCCUUGAGGAAGUCAGACAGAUGAAGCCACGAGGCCUGUCUCAUCAAAACGCUGUCAAAAUAGAACGUGUUGCCAUCAAAUGUACACUGGAGUGACUUUUUGCCACCAACUGGCUCUCAUUU